UCCGCUUUACAGCGGCAGUUUGUUCCGAGUCCCCGACUUUACUCGCUGGUAACAGAACAUGAGGGUUGCGCUCGUUGCGGGACUUAACCCAACAUUUCACAACACGAGCUGACGACAGCCAUGCACCACCUGUGCACCACCCUCGAAGGCGACUAUGUUUCCAUAGCGUGCAGGUGCAUGUCAAGCCCUGGUAAGGUUCUUCGCGUUGCAUCGAAUUAAGCCACAUGCUCCACCGCUUGUGCGGGCCCCCGCCAAUUCCUUUGAGUUUUAGCCUUGCGGCCGUACUCCCCAGGCGGGGCACUUAAUGCGUUAGCUACGGCGCGGAAAACGUGGAAUGUCCCCCACACCUAGUGCCCAACGUUUACGGCAUGGACUAC
rnacentral:misc_RNA from 1 species